AGAGGCGAUAAAUUUGACGUUUCCUUUUUUCAAUUCUCCAGAUCCCAUUUUGCUAGAUCGAAUCGUGAAACCCUUUGCUUUUCCUCUCUUAAUCCACGUUAUCCGGUGAUAGAUUCUAUCUCGAAGGAUUCCAAUGGGAUUUAAACGCAGCGAUGGAGGCUUGCCACAGAAAACCUUGCCGGCAGCCAAGACCGGGAAAUCAAAGGACAAAGGUUUUUUUUUUUGGGACUUGGCGGUCUGGAUCCACAUCCUCAACCUCCAACAUCGAGAGAUCAGCUCGGUUUUGGACAAUCUGCUCGGUCUUGGACAAUCUCCCCGUAUGAAUCUUAUAAUCGCCUCUGCCGCCACCGUUCAUCGUCUUCAUGGUUAUAGUGGCCAAUGCUCCGGUAAUACUUGGAAGGAGUGACGAUAGUAAUAUAUCAUAUGUUAUGUUUUGUUUAGCGAGGCAAGUACUGAAAAAUGAAGAGAUGAACAAGUUUCGGGAUUUCACACAUCUUAUCUGAACGAAUUAGAGGCAAAGAGGAUAUUGAUUAUGUGUAAUUCUCAGUUCACAAGUCAUUUACUUUUAGUUGCUGAUAGUAAGCUUUCUUUCAAACUUGUGUUAGGAUCUCAAAUUGGGAAGCAUGUUAGCAAAGUUUUAAAGAGAAAAAGACCAAAAUAGCACUAAAUCAAGUUUUUGUUCCCAAACUAGCACUCAAGGCCAAAAUUCACAAAAAUAGCAUUCAGGGGGUGGGGUUUAGGGUUUAGAAUUUAGGGUUUAGGGUUUAGAGUUUAGAUUUUAGGGUUUAGAGUUGAGAAGUGAGGUUUUGGGGAUAAGAUUUCAAAUUUUGAAAAAUAAAAAAAUUUAAAUUUUUCAAAAGAUAAAAUGCUAUUUUGGUCAUUUUAGUUUUUGAGUGCUAUUUUUGUGAUAUAAACUUAGAAAUGUGCUAUUUUGGAGAUUUGCCCUUCUACAAAGGUAGAAUUGUAUUUAUUGGUAGAUAUUAUGUUUUACGAGUUGUAGAUAUCUAUGUUGUUAACCAAAUUUAUAAUCUACUUCCCCGUAGAUAGUAGAUUAUGUUUUCUAUCAUCCGUAGAUCAAAAUAUAAAAUUGUAAUCUAUUAAUAUUUAAUCAACAAAAUUAUUUUUCAUAUAACUGUUUCUUAUUUAUGUACAUUUUGAAUAUUUUUUCAUAUUUUUCUGAUUUUUAAAAUAAUUGAUAUAAAUUUUUAAAAUUGUUCAGAAGUAUCUCAGUCUAAAAUAGACUAAAAAGAGAUUUAUGGCAAAUGAACAUUGUAGUUGUUUUUUGUUCUGUUUUAGCAAUUUUUUCUAAUUUAAAUCAGUUUUGGUUUUAGGUUGGAUCUUUUCACGAAGCCAAAAAAUACAAAACUGGAACCUAACCGAAUACCAUACUUGGAUACGUUGUGGUAUUAUAGACUUUUAACAUUCAUGAAAUCACACUUAAGUAAAUAUUGAGGAGCUUUCACCUUAUAGUUGAUGAGAUGCAAUAUUCUGCGUAUCAUAUGCAAAAGAGGCUUAGGAGGGGCUUUAAGAGAAUCCAAGCUACCUUCCAUCACCUUUACGACUUUUUGUACAUAUGGACAUAACUGAACACAAUCCCAGUUCAAGAUUAUUAUAGAUGCAAUCCAAAAUGUAAGCCGAGCUGUUGUUCGGAUCAGAGUUUCUGGUAUGUUCUUUGUUCCUUGCCCUGAUCAGAGCUGUGCUUAGAGACUUUUGAAAAAUGUAUUUUCCUAGGACCCCCAAAUUUUGUAGAAAUUUUAGGGUCAUAAUUACAAAAAAAAUUACUUUUACAUGGUAAUUAGCAUAUUCUCUUAGUUAGAUUUUUAUUUGAAUAUAAAUUGGACUUCUGUUUAAAGUAACUAUGUUUGUGAUCAUUUUGCUAUAUUUUAAAUAAAACUAUAAAGAUUAUCUAUACUAUAUUAAAAGGGUUAUAUGAGCAUCAGAGAGUGUGUCCACGUAGGACAAUUAAAUCAGCCAAUCAGGAGACUUCUUUUUGACACAUCAUCAAGCCCAGCUUCGUUGCUUUGGUUCUUCUUCACGCCUUUCGCGAUCCGAGAGGCGAUGUUUCCCUUUUUCAUUUCUCCAGAUCCCGUUUUGCUAGAUCGAAUCGUGAAACCCUUUGCUUUUCCUCUCUUAAUCCACGUUAUCCGGUGAUCCUAAAAGAAGUGUUAUUCUAUCUCGAAGGAUUCCGAUGGGAUCUAAACGCAGCGAUGGAGGCUUGCCACAGGAAACCAUGCCGGCAGCCACGACCGGGAAAUCAAAGGACAAAGGUUUUUUUUGGGACUUGGCGGUCUGGAUCCACAUCCUCAACCUCCAACAUCGAGAGAUCAGCUCGGUUUUGGACAAUCUGCUCGGUCUUGGACAAUCUCCCCGUAUGAAUCUUAUAAUCGCCUCUGCCGCCACCGUUCAUCGUCUUCAUGGUUAUAGUGGCCA
rnacentral:lncRNA from 1 species